AGCGAACGCUGGCGGCAGGCCUAACACAUGCAAGUCGAACGAACCCUUCGGGGUUAGUGGCGGACGGGUGAGUAACACGUGGGAACGUGCCUUUAGGUUCGGAAUAACUCAGGGAAACUUGUGCUAAUACCGAAUGUGCCCUUCGGGGGAAAGAUUUAUCGCCUUUAGAGCGGCCCGCGUCUGAUUAGCUAGUUGGUGAGGUAAUGGCUCACCAAGGCUACGAUCAGUAGCUGGUCUGAGAGGAUGACCAGCCACAUUGGGACUGAGACACGGCCCUAACUCCUACGGGAGGCAGCAGUGGGGAAUCUUGCGCAAUGGGCGAAAGCCUGACGCAGCCAUGCCGCGUGGAUGAUGAAGGCCUUAGGAUUGUAAAAUCCUUUCACCGGUGAAGAUAAUGACGGUAGCCGGAGAAGAAGCCCCGGCUAACUUCGUGCCAGCCGCCGCGGUAACAC
rnacentral:rRNA from 1 species